GCCCAUCAUCGCGUACGUACAUGUGUACUUUCCGAAUAUUAUUAAUCCGCAAAACAAACAACCCGUCGUCGCCGCCGGAAGUGCAUACCUCAUCGUGAUAAUCGCAGGAUAUGCAGAGUGGAGGAAACGUAUAUGAGUGGGCAAUGUUAUUGUUGUUGCGCGAGAAACACUGAAAGUCGGACAAGCCACUGUCAUAUCCGAGUUCGUCGGCG